GACAGAGGGUGCAAAUGUUGUCCGGAAUCAUUGGGCGUAAAGCGCGUGUAGGCGGCUCGGUAAGUCUGCUCUGAAAGUCCAAGGCUCAACCUUGGGAUGCGGGUGGAUACUGCCGGGCUCGAGUCCGGAAGAGGCGAGUGGAAUUCCUGGUGUAGCGGUGAAAUGCGCAGAUAUCAGGAGGAACACCAAUGGCGAAGGCAGCUCGCUGGGACGUGACUGACGCUGAGACGCGAAAGCGUGGGGAGCAAACAGG
rnacentral:rRNA from 1 species